GAGGGUACAGCUCAAGUGGUAGAGUGCAUGCUUAGCAUGCAUGCGGUUCUGGGUUCAAUCCCCAGUACCUUCU
rnacentral:tRNA from 1 species